rnacentral:tRNA from 2 species
GGGCGCGUAGCUCAGAUGGUUAGAGCGCACGCCUGAUAAGCGUGAGGUCUGUGGUUCGAUUCCACUCGUUCCCA